rnacentral:rRNA from 1 species
AUUGAACGCUGGCGGCAUGCUUUACACAUGCAAGUCGAACGGUAACAGGCCUUCGGGUGCUGACGAGUGGCGAACGGGUGAGUAAUGCAUCGGAACGUGCCCAAUCGUGGGGGAUAACGUAGCGAAAGUUACGCUAAUACCGCAUAAGCCCUGAGGGGGAAAGCAGGGGAUCGCAAGACCUUGCGCGAAUGGAGCGGCCGAUGUCAGAUUAGCUAGUUGGUGGGGUAAAGGCCUACCAAGGCGACGAUCUGUAGCGGGUCUGAGAGGAUGAUCCGCCACACUGGGACUGAGACACGGCCCAGACUCCUACGGGAGGCAGCAGUGGGGAAUUUUGGACAAUGGGCGCAAGCCUGAUCCAGCCAUGCCGCGUGCGGGACGAAGGCCU